CGGGGAGCCCCGCCUCUCACCUUUGGGUCGUUGACAAUCAGCUGUCGGGCACGCACCCGUGAUGAAAGGAGCAGGAAUUCCCUGCAGUUCAAGAAGCCAUUGAUGAUUAAAUACUAACUAAAGUACCGUAUUUUCAGAGGUUGAUCAGAACUUCCGAAUGGAUGAUGGUGAAGUGCUAGAAGGGAAAUGCAUCCAUUGGAAACAUGGCCAAAUGCAGUCAAGCAUAAAUAUAAAAGAAAAUCAGAGAUGGGGAAGAUUGACUCACGAGAGAUUGGAGAGGUAGAUUCGCACAGUGAUAGUGCAAGCAGCUUGGCUCUAAUUAAAUAUGCCACUGAGUCUCAAAGCAUUUGCUUCAGCAGCAGAGAGGAGAAGCUGCCACGGAUUCGAAGGAAGAAAUAUAUCACAUCAUCUGUCUGUCCACCAUUUCCUCUGGGCAUCUAAAGCGUUUCCAUAUCCUCGGUGCUUACAUGAAGAGGACUGUACACGUUCGCAAACGACCAAAAAAGCGCAGGGACUCGGAUUUUAAACAGACAUGACUCGCUUGUCUGUGUUUACGGAGAGAAAUAUAAGAAAAAAAACAACUCCGCGCAACUCUGCUCUCUCUGCCCGGAGAAACUGGUAAGAUACAGCACAAUCAAUUUCAUCGGCAGUGAGCCGUUCGCUUCCUUUCUGAGCGCCAGUAUUGCGGACAACCCACAGACGUACUUCCAUGCAGAUGACCAAUAUAACUAGUCACUUUGAAAUAAAGAAAAAAUGAAUUCGAAUACAAUUACUUCAGAAGAGGAUGCUUUCUUUUUAACAACAAACUAAUUCACAAUUUACAUUGAUCACAAUUUGUGACUAUGAUAAAUAUGAUCUUCCGGCUAAAGUGUUUUUUCCUAAAUGGUAACGUGUGGAUGUGGCACAACUGAAGAGAUUCUGCCAGCAGACGGCGAUAUUAACACACGCUUGCCACUACGGGUAACUCCGAGGUCUAUUUCGAA